GUCGAGAGGCGGCCUGCUAUACAUGCAAGUCGAGCGCGGGAAGCCGGCGGACUCCUUCGGGAGGAAACCGGUGGAACGAGCGGCGGACGGGUGAGUAACACGUGGGCAACCUGCCGGACUGAUGGGAAUAACCCCGGGAAACCGGGGCUAAUGCCCAAUACGCCCUGACCUCGCCUGAGGUCAGCGGCAAAGCAGGGAUCUUCGGAUCCUUGCACAGUCCGAUGGGCCCGCGGCGCAUUAGCUAGUUGGAGAGGUAAGGGCUCCCCAAGGCGACGAUGCGUAGCCGACCUGAGAGGGUGAUCGGCCACACUGGGACUGAGACACGGCCCAGACUCCUACGGGAGGCAGCAGUAGGGAAUCAUCCGCAAUGGGCGAAAGCCUGACGGUGCAACGCCGCGUGAGUGAUGAAGGUUUUCGGAUCGUAAAGCUCUGUUGACAGGGAAGAACCCACGCCAGUCGAACAGGCUGGCGUGCUGACGGUACCUGUCCAGAAAGCCCCGGCUAACUACGUGCCAGCAGCCGCGGUAAUACGUAGGGGGCAAGCGUUGUCCGGAAUUAUUGGGCGUAAAGGGCACGCAGGCGGUUUCGUCAGUCCGAUGUGACAGGCCACGGCUCAACCGUGGAAGGCCAUUGGAAACUGCGAAACUUGAGGACAGAAGAGGAGAGUGGAAUUCCACGUGUAGCGGUGAAAUGCGUAGAUAUGUGGAGGAACACCAGUGGCGAAGGCGACUCUCUGGUCUGUACCUGACGCUGAGGUGCGAAAGCAUGGGGAGCAAACAGGAUUAGAUACCCUGGUAGUCCAUGCCGUAAACGCUGAGUGCUAGGUGUUAGGGGUUUCGAUACCCGUAGUGCCGAAGCUAACGCAUUAAGCACUCCGCCUGGGGAGUACGACCGCAAGGUUGAAACUCAAAGGAAUUGACAGGGGCCCGCACAAGCGGUGGAGCAUGUGGUUUAAUUCGACGCAACGCGAAGAACCUUACCAGAUCUUGACAUCUUCCGCUACGCCUCGAGAGAGGCGGUUCCUCUUCGGGGGACGAAUGACAGGUGGUGCAUGGUGUCGUCAGCUCUGUUCGUGAGAAUGUUGGGUUAAGUCCGCCACGAGCGCAACCCCUAAAUCCUAGUGCAGCAUUCAGUGGCACUCUUAGGUGACUGCCGGUGAACAAACGGAAGAAGGUGGGAUGACGUUCAUCAUCAUGCCCUUAGAUCUGGUUACACUGCUACAUGGAUGUAUCAACGGAACCGCUAACCUCUCCCAAGGGAG
rnacentral:rRNA from 1 species